GUUGAGAUAAUUUAAUUGGUUUAAAAUAUUCAUCUCAUAAGUGAAUUAUGUAGGUUCAAUUCCUACUCUCAGCU
rnacentral:tRNA from 1 species